AUUGAACGCUGGCGGGAUGCUUUACACAUGCAAGUCGAACGGCAGCACGGGUGCUUGCACCUGGUGGCGAGUGGCGAACGGGUAAGUAAUACAUCGGAACGUACCCAGUUGUGGGGGAUAACUAACCGAAAGGUUAGCUAAUACCGCAUACGACCUGAGGGUGAAAGCGGGGGACCGUAAGGCCUCGCGCAAUUGGAGCGGCCGAUGUCUGAUUAGCUAGUUGGUGAGGUAAAGGCUCACCAAGGCGACGAUCAGUAGCUGGUCUGAGAGGAUGAUCAGCCACACUAGAACUGAGACACGGUCCAGACUCCUACGGGAGGCAGCAGUGGGGAAUUUUGGACAAUGGGGGAAACCCUGAUCCAGCCAUUCCGCGUGAGUGAAGAAGGCCUUCGGGUUGUAAAGCUCUUUCGGCAGGGAAGAAACGCUCUGGCUUAAUACGCCGGGGUAAUGACGGUACCUGAAGAAGAAGCACCGGCUAACUACGUGCCAGCCGCCGCCGUAAUAC
rnacentral:rRNA from 1 species